rnacentral:rRNA from 1 species
GGACUACCCGGGUUUCUAAUCCUGUUUGCUCCCCACGCCUUCGCGCCUCAGCGUCAGUCUCGGUCCAGAGCGCCGCCUUCGCCACCGGUGUUCUUCCCAAUAUCUACGAAUUUCACCUCUACACUGGGAAUUCCACGCUCCUCUCCCGAACUCCAGCCAACCAGUCUCGAGCGCACCUCCCAGGUUGAGCCCGGGGCUUUCACACUCGACUUGGUCCGCCGCCUACGCGCCCUUUACGCCCAGUAAAUCCGAACAACGCUCGCCCCCUUCGUAUUACCGCGGCGGCUGGCAC